AUUCCUCUUCACAUUUGGAACGUUUACUGUCAACCUAUAUACCACCCAGCGAAUAGAAUCAAAAUGAAUGAUUUUAAAGGGGCAUCAAGUGAAAAUGCAGAGGCUUCAUCUAGCGGCUCCAGUAUUUAUAGAGACGCUUUAGCCGUCCUAUCGGACGAAGGCAGUGGGAGCGAGGAGUUCGAG